rnacentral:rRNA from 1 species
GACGAACGCUGGCGGCGUGCCUAAUACAUGCAAGUAGAACGCACAGUUUAUACCGUAGCUUGCUACACCAUAGACUGUGAGUUGCGAACGGGUGGGUAACGCGUAGGUAACCUGCCUGGUAGCGGGGGAUAACUAUUGGAAACGAUAGCUAAUACCGCAUAAUAUUGAUUAUUGCAUGAUAAUUGAUUGAAAGAUGCUAUUGCAUCACUACCAGAUGGACCUGCGUUGUAUUAGCUAGUAGGUGAGGUAACGGCUCACCUAGGCGACGAUACAUAGCCGACCUGAGAGGGUGAUCGGCCACACUGGGACUGAGACACGGCCCAGACUCCUACGGGAGGCAGCAGUAGGGAAUCUUCGGCAAUGGACGAAAGUCUGACCGAGCAACGCCGCGUGAGUGAAGAAGGUUUUCGGAUCGUAAAGCUCUGUUGUAAGAGAAGAACGGGUGUGAGAGUGGAAAGUUCACACUGUGACGGUAGCUUACCAGAAAGGGACGGCUAACUACGUG